rnacentral:rRNA from 1 species
GAUGAACGCUGGCGGCGUGCCUAAUACAUGCAAGUCGAACGAAGAUCUAGCUUGCUAGAUCUUAGUGGCGAACGGGUGAGUAAUACAUAAAUAAUCUGCCCAUAUGACUGGGAUAACUAUUGGAAACGAUAGCUAAUACCGGAUAGGUUGAUUGGAGGCAUCUCUGAUUAAUUAAAGUAGGAUUUCUACACAAAUGGAUGAGUUUAUGGCGCAUUAGUUAGUUGGUGGGGUAACGGCCUACCAAGACGAUGAUGCGUAGCCGACCUGCGAGGGUGAACGGCCACACUGGGGCUGAGACACGGCCCAGACUCCUACGGGAGGCAGCAGUAGGGAAUUUUCGGCAAUGGGCGCAAGCCUGACCGAGCAACGCCGCGUGAGUGAUUAAGGCCUUCGGGUUGUAAAGCUCUGUUGUAAGGGAAGAACAUUCAGGAUAGGAAAUGAUCUUGAACUGACGGUACCUUACCAGAAAGUCACGGCUAACUACGUGCCAGCCGCCGCGGUAAUAC